AAACUUUCAACAACGGAUCUCUUGGUUCUCGCAUCGAUGAAGAACGCAGCGAAAUGCGAUAAGUAAUGUGAAUUGCAGAAUUCAGUGAAUCAUCGAAUCUUUGAACGCAAAUUGCACUCUUUGGUAUUCCGAAGAGUAUGCCUGUUUGAGUGUCAU
rnacentral:rRNA from 3 species